rnacentral:rRNA from 1 species
GGCGAUAAAUCAUUCAAGUUUCUGACCUAUCAGCUUUCGACGGUAUGGUAUUGGCUUACCGUGGCAGUGACGGUUAACGGGGGAUUAGGGUUCGAUUCCGGAGAGGGAGCCUGAGAAACGGCUACCACAUCUAAGGAAGGCAGCAGGCGCGCAAAUUACCCAAUUCUAACAGUUUGAGAGAGGUAGUAACAAGAAAUAACAAUACAAGGCAGUUAAAAUGCUUUGUAAUUGGAAUGAUAGAAAUUUAAACCCUUUUUAAAGUAUCAAUUGGAGGGCAAGUCUGGUGCCAGCAGCCGCGGUAAUUCCAGCUCCAAUAGCGUAUAUUAAAAUUGUUGCAGUUAAAAAGCUCGUAGUUGAAGUUCUGCUAAAAGUAACCGGUCUGCUUUUAAUAAAGGUGGUAUCUUGGUGUGUAUUUAGCAAUGAUGUCCUUUGAAGUGUUUUUUACUUUAUUGUAAUAAAGCAUAUUCAGGACUUUUACUUUGAGAAAAUUAGAGUGUUUCUAGCAGGCUAACGCUUUGAAUACUGCAGCA